CCCCGCCCUGCCUGCUUGCUCAUCCGCUCGGGGUUUGCCCUCAAAAUCACUCUCUUCACAGCAAGAUAACAACCCACUUCCCGGCGCAGUCGCGCGAAUGGGUGGCUCAUCGUUUCACUUCUUCUGAACGGCCGACACGAUUCGCACGCCCUGACUCCUCCUCUCCGCCGCCGAGGCUUUUUCUAGGCCGAGGGGCGAGGGUGCAGAGUCGCUGCCCUGGCAACGGCCACUUAACGGCCACAGCCGCUCUCGAGAGAGCUGCCGGGCUGCUCUGUGACCUCGGGGUUCCCUGGAACCAGUCGAAACCCCCCUGUACCUCGCGAUCGGUCGCUGCGGUUCUGGGACAGCUCCGGAGCAGCGAACCUCAGCGAUCAAGGACUGCCUGGCUCGCCAUAGCUUCUCCAGUUGACACCUCUUGGACUGACAAGGAUGACUGUUGCCACUAUCCUGAGCUGUUUGCAUGGCAACUGCUGACCUGCAAUGCAUCAUGGUUUGGUGCACCAGCACAGCUCUAUCCUUGUCCAUUAGAGUAUGCUGUCCAUUGCAAUGUUUCAGCUGCUGAUUUGAAAACACUACGCCAUUUCUUAAACAACUGCUAUUAGGUAGAGCUAAGAUGAUGAACCUGCUGCAAGAAAAGCAAGAAAAACAAAUGUAAAAGGAGCAGAUGGAGUAGAGGUGUGAAAGUUUGACUCCAGAGAGACUGAUGGCAACAUACCAGCUGGAUUCUGCAUGACCAGACUUAAGAGUGCCUCCCAGCCCCGCCGCUUGUCUCUGGAAAAAAAUCUCACAUAAGCAGGAGGGAAACAACUUUGGUAUGGCAACUGCCAGAGCAAGACAGAGUGUCGCAUUUUCUCUCUGACAAAAUUUACUGUCAAAGCUUCUAUUCAGUAAACCUUCGACACCAACACUAAAGGCAAAAGUGGGAAAAGGAAUGCCUAAUAAAUGAAACUCAGGG
rnacentral:lncRNA from 1 species